UUUGACCGUGCGAAGGUAGCAUAAUCAUUAGUCUUUUAAUUGAAGGCUUGUAUGAAUGGCUGGAUGAAAGACAACCUGUCUUUUUUUAUUAUGUGAAUUUAACUUUUAAGUGAAAAGGCUUAAAUUAUCUAGUGGGACGAUAAGACCCUAUAAAACUUUAUAUAAUGUGUGUUUAAUGAUUAUAUUUAGUUUAAAGUCGUUUUAUGUAAAUUAUAUUUCGUUGGGGAGAUGUGUAUAUAAUUUGUAACUGUUUUUUUAAUUAAAUAAUUAUAAUUAGUUUUUGAUCCUUUAAUAAAGAUUAAAAGAUUAAGUUACUUUAGGGAUAACAGCGUAAUUUUCUCUGAGAGCCCCUAUCGACGAGAGUAGUUGCGACCUCGAUGUUGAAUUAAAAUUUCAGAUUGGUGUAGCCGCUUUUCUGGUGGGUCUGUUCGACCUUUAAAAUUUUACAUGAUUU
rnacentral:rRNA from 1 species